GCUGCCCCCCUCCAUUGGGGAGCUGCAGCAGGGGAAGGCCACCCUCAUGUGUCUGGCCAACAAGGGCUUCCCCUCAGACUGGAGUCUGUCCUGGAAGGUGGACGGCAGCAGCAGCAGCUUCAGCUGGGAGGAGAACAAGAGCCGAGGAGUGCUGCAGAAGGACGGCCUCUACAGCUGGAGCAGCACCCUGAGGCUCCCUGCAGACCAGUGGAGGAAGGUGGGCUCUGUGACCUGUGAGGCCACCCAGGGCUCCCAGUCUGCAGUCACAGAGACACUGAGGAGAGACCAGUGUUCCCAGUGACAA